GAGCCAAAUUUGAAGUAGAGUAGAUUAGUAUCAGCUGACCCUACUAAUCCACUCUACUUCAAGUUUGUGCCC
rfam:Haemonchus placei strain MHpl1 genome assembly, scaffold: HPLM_scaffold0000490